rfam:Aedes albopictus isolate Foshan contig107589, whole genome shotgun sequence.
UGCCCAGCAACUCCUAUCCCUACCUCCACGCGGUACCGGCCGGAA